rnacentral:rRNA from 1 species
CCUACGGGUGGCAGCAGUGGGGAAUAUUGGGCAAUGGACGAGACUCUGAACCAGCCAAGCCGCGUGAAUGAUGACUGCCUUCUGGGUUGAAAACUCUUUUUAUAUGGGAGUAAAAUGUUCCACUUGCUUGAUUAUCUACGUCGCAUAUCUAUCAGGCAGCGCUAACUCUGUGCCAUCAGCCGCGGUAAUACGGAGGAACCGAGCGUUAUCCGGAGUUAGUGGGUGUAAGGGGAGCGUAGGUGGAUUGAUAAGUCAGUUGUGAAAGUUCGCGGCUCAACCGUAAAAUUGCAGUUGAAACUGGCGGUCUUGAGUACAGUAGAGGUGAGCGGAAUUCGUAGUGUAGCGGUGAAAUGCGUAGAUAUCAGGAGGAACACCAGUGGCGAAGGCAGCUCACUGGACUGCAACUGACACUGAGGCUCGAAAGUGUGGGUAUCAAACAGGAUUAGAUACCCGAGUAGUC